UACGUAGGGUGCAAGCGUUGUCCGGAAUUAUUGGGCGUAAAGAGCUCGUAGGCGGUCUGUCGCGUCUGCUGUGAAAACUCAGGGCUUAACCCUGAGCUUGCAGUGGGUACGGGCAGACUAGAGUGGCGGUAGGGGAGACUGGAAUUCCUGGUGUAGCGGUGAAAUGCGCAGAUAUCAGGAGGGAACACCGGUGGCGAAGGCGGGUCUCUGGGCCGAUACUGACGCUGGAGGCAACGAAAGCGUGGGGAGCAAACAGG
rnacentral:rRNA from 1 species